CCUCAGCUGACGAGUCCCAAAUAGGACGAAGUACGCAUCCUGGGC
rnacentral:hammerhead_ribozyme from 1 species